ensembl:lncRNA
GGGCUCCGUUUUCAGCACAGAUCUUGUCAAAUUCAAGCUGUCAACCGCACAGACCCUGAAAGCCAGUCACAGACCCCUGGGGACAGGCGUGUGGCACACGACCUUGAGGGGGCUCUGCUGAGUGUGGGACUGUGGUGAUAAGAGGGACAAAUGAGAGGAAGCCACCUGGGCCAAUUGCUUUGUGCUCACCCACACCGCCCCUUUGUGCUUGUCCUUGAGGGACGUUAGGGCAGCUGCACUGAAUAUAUUUCCUCCUUUCCCCCCUUGGUUGCCGCUCUCCCUUUCCGCCAUCUCUUACAAGGCAUGGGCAAGGAGGCAGUGCACGCAGAUUAAGGACAGACUGGCUCUGCCGCUUAGAAGCUGUGUGUCCUUGGGCAAGUGACUUAACCUCUCUGAAUCUUUUCCCUCAGGUUGUGAUGAAGAUUGCAAGAGGUGAUACACUGCUAAGCACAGGCCGGCAUGUUGUAACUGCUCCAGGAUUAUUCACUAUUAUCAUUUUCAUGGAGGUGCAUGGAGGAGAUGGGACAACUCUUCUUCAAGUCUCUUAGCAUCAUUUGUUAUCAGUCUUUAAUAUUCAUGAGGAUCAUCUGGGGAGCUUCUUAAAAAUGCAAGGGUAAUUAUAAAAUCAUUGGAUGGGGCGUAUGAUUAUGAUUCUGGGAGUGUGAUUCUGAUGUGAAUGAACAUUUGAGAACCACUGCCUGAAAUGUUUUCCUAAAGUAUGAAGGCUGGCGAUGGCUUGUUGGAGAACUCCAAAUUGGAAUUUCAUAUUCAGAUCUAAUCAUUUCAGAUCUAAUCACUAGAAGAGGAAGCACGGACUGGUUCCACCCCAUGGUCAUGACUGAACUAAUCGGAAACUCUCUUGAAUUUGCCACAAUGAACUGAGCACCAAUUAAAAAUUGCCUUGGAAGAAAUACCUACUAAAUUCUAGCCAAGCUGGGCAUCAGCUCCCUGGGCCCUUAGUGACUAUUAUUUGCAAAAAGUGUUCUCACUCCGAUCCAUUUGUUCUCCCUGCCGUUUUAUCCCCUGUAAUAUUCUCUAGAGACCAAUUACUAUUAUCUGAAUGGA